AGCGGCGAUAUCAUGUUGAAUGCACCAGUUCCCUAUGGUUCAUUGAAGUUAAGCAACGUUACACUCGGUUGGUAUCUGGAUGGGUGACCACCUGGACAAUCUUGUGCUAAAGCUU
rnacentral:rRNA from 1 species